rnacentral:tmRNA from 1 species
GGGGGCGAAACGGCUUCGACGGGGAUAUAGAAACUCCGGCUGCAUAUCGAGUGCCUGCUAACUCGUAAAAAUGGUGGGAAAAUAUAUAAUCGCAGAUGAUUAUGAAUAUGCCCUGGCCGCUUAAAUAGGCCAGCGUUCUGCCGGGUUUUUCCCGCGUAUCCGGUAAGAGCGUCGACUAGCGGGAUAGCGUUUAUUGGCUUGCCUGUAACCGAAAACGCGAAACUUUCGCAGGCUAGUCUUAGCGGAAUCCAGCCUGAAGGAGUCUUACAAGGCGAAAUUUAAAAUUCAGGAUAAAUAUGUAGAUGCCCGAGCGGAAUAUUUUCGGACGCGGGUUCGACUCCCGCCGCCUCCACCA